rnacentral:rRNA from 1 species
UACGUAGGGGGCAAGCGUUGUCCGGAUUUAUUGGGCGUAAAGAGCGUGUAGGCGGCCUGAAAGGUCAGCUGUGAAAACUCGAGGCUCAACCUCGAGACGUCGGUUGAAACCAUCUGGCUAGAGUCCGGAAGGGGAGUGUGGAAUUCCCGGUGUAGCGGUGAAAUGCGCAGAUAUCGGGAGGAACACCUGUGGCGAAAGCGGCUCACUGGACCAUAACUGACGCUGAUGCACGAAAGCUGGGGGAGCAAACAGG